GAUGAACGCUGGCGGCGUGCCUAAUACAUGCAAGUCGAGCGAACGGACGAGAAGCUUGCUUCUCUGAUGUUAGCGGCGGACGGGUGAGUAACACGUGGAUAACCUACCUAUAAGACUGGGAUAACUUCGGGAAACCGUAGCUAAUACCGGAUAAUAUUUUGAACCGCAUGGUUCAAAAGUGAAAGACGGUCUUGCUGUCACUUAUAGAUGGAUCCGCGCUGCAUUAGCUAGUUGGUAAGGUAACGGCUUACCAAGGCAACGAUGCAUAGCCGACCUGAGAGGGUGAUCGGCCACACUGGAACUGAGACACGGUCCAGACUCCUACGGGAGGCAGCAGUAGGGAAUCUUCCGCGAUGGGCGAAAGCCGGACGGAGCAACGCCGCGUGAGUGAUGAAGGUCUUCGGAUCGUAAAACUCUGUUAUUAGGGAAGAACAUAUGUGUAAGUAACUGUGCACAUCUUGACGGUACCUAAUCAGAAAGCCACGGCUAACUACGUG
rnacentral:rRNA from 1 species